rnacentral:lncRNA from 1 species
CGAAACCUAGAUUUAAGUUUUGAACGAUCCUUUACCUCAUUCUCCAUCUCCUCCAUGAGCUGGUUAGCAGUUUUUUUAAGAAAAUAAAGAGCACAAUCUUCAAAUAAUGUAAAGUAUGCUGCCUGCUCCAUGUCAUCAUCAUCAUCAUCAUCAUCUAUGAGUACCUUCAUCAAAUAUCUAAUAAUAACCGGAAAACAACAAAUUAAAAGAUAUUUUGUAAAUUUAUAUAGAUGUAACCUGGAAAAUGUAUAAAACAUAUAUAAUAUUAGACACAAAAAUAAUGGUAAAUAUGUAAAUAACCUUAUAUGGAUUUACCCGAUCGGACGCUUGCACUUUUUGCAUUGGUCUCCAACUUUACUUCCUUUUGCAAUACCUUUAUAGCACCUAUCAUUCCCACAUGCUUCAUAGAACCAUGAUUAUGUAGGAUGAAUGUCUCUAAUAGUCCCCUUGCAUAUAAAGGUACCAACCUAAAAAUUCAAAAAUAAAUAAAUAAAAUUAAAUUUUGGUGCUAUCAAUAAAAAAAAAUCCCAACCUUGAAUAAUCGCUAUGCUAUGUAUACCUCAUCCGAGUUAACCAUCUGCUUAAUGGUUCUCGCGAGAGAACCAUUCAACCAAUCCUCACUUUUAAAUUCUCCACCACUACUCGAAAUGUUUGUGAUAGAACAACUCAAUAGAUUUCCAGUCCCACGCCUUAAUAUAAUAGUAAUAUCAAUAAAGAAAUAUCAAAUUAAUAUAAAAAAAAUAAUUAAAACUAUAAACAAUUUGAAAGUAAGUAGUGUAUGUUCAAUUACAAACCUAAGAAUAAACUAUUUGACCUGUUGGAUUUCCGGACUGAUAAAGAACCGAGUUGCAUGCUUCAUUGUGGAAAUGAAGGUUUUCCCUAAAAUUAAAUACAAAAUUUGUGAAUAAUUUUGAUCAUCCUUUUUAUAUACUUAGAACAAUUAAUAAAUCUUAAACCUUGAAAGUUGAUAUCUUCGCAAAUUGCAAAGCCACGAGAACGGGCUCUUUGUCUUCAUUUUUCUUGGACUCCAUAAAAGAUUUAGUUCAUCAGCAAAAGACUCCCACAACACACAAGUUACUUGUGUUCCACUAAUGUCAACAUAGCAUAUAUAAGUGAAUCAAAAAGUUAGAUAAUGAUUACAUAUAUAUUUGACUGUACAAAAAAAAAAGGAGAGCAAGAACACCCUAACUGUUGUUCAUGUUCUAGAACAAAUUGCUCGAAUUCCCAUUAUAUAUUCUCAAAUUCCCAUACAAUAUUAUCCUCCAACUAAAACCAUGAUUUUGAUUAUGCACGAGCAAUCAAAAUCUCACCGAAAGGAAUCGGGAUACGAAUGCCAAUAAUUUCAGUUAGGGAUACUCACAAUAAUAAUCAACUAUUCCUUAAAAAAUCAAAUAUUCCAAUCACAGUUUCACAUAGCCACAUAUAAGAAUGGAUCAUACAAAUCUGUACUAUUCAGUUUCACAUUACCAUAAUAAUUAAAGAAUUAGUAAAAAUCAUACUCUGCAUCUUCCAAUGUGACGUCACAUUUGCUGGCUUUUCUACCUUUGAAGUCCACCCAUUCUAUUGUAAUUGUGUCGUUCUUGACCUCCGAGAAUAUCUGCAAGUAGUAUAAUUUAUAUUUUAAUAAAUAUGGCAUGAACAUGUAAAAUUUAAUAUAUAGAUCAUUAUUUAAGAAAAUUAUUCUUACCCAAAACAAACAUGCUAUCAUGCGAUUGUAUUUCCUUGAAAGGUACAAAUUGGAAUCCAUCUUUCACAAUUUCCACAAACUCCUUAGGUUCCGACACAUUAGUAGCAAGGCCAAAGCCGAUCCUACAUUGAUGAUUGAUUUUGGCAUAUUGAAGGCUUGUAUUAUUUUUGAUAGCUUGAAAGUUUUCAAAAACAUAAAUUUGGCCCUCUUUUAGUAGAUUUAAAAAAUUGCUUUUCAACCCCGUAGAGAUUGUAGCUUGAAUUUUGUCACCCUGCACAUAAAAAAAUUAUGUAUAGACUACAUAGAUAAAGUAUGAGCUAAAAAAAUAACCAAUAAUGAACACUUACCAUUUCAUCCACUACAAUCAUCUCAAUUCAUUCCUUUCCUGUUAUGUCCUUUUGAAUCCACAAUCGAAGUAUCCUGACCACCACAAGCUUAUUUCUUGUGUUAUCAUUUAUGGCAUUCAAUUGAAUCUUCUUUCUUGAUGUUGACAUCUCCUUGUGUUAUAAUAAAUGAAUGCAAUACGUUUAGAAUAUAGAACAAGGCAGUAUCAGGCAGUCAAAAGAAAAUAUAUGUUACAGAGUCAAAUUACAGAAGCUCAAGCACACAAUUGCAGGUAUGAUCAGAACAUACAUGCAUAAAAAUAAAAGAAUAGCUGUAUAAGAUGAAGGACAAACCAACAACAUGACUACUCCACUAUGAAGGGCUUAGGACCAGAUCUGACCCAGCAAAUGGCAGAGCAGAUGAUAUAAUAUGUUGGUUUGCAGAAUGAUACAACCUACUUUGGUGAUUCGAUUUCCAUUAACAAAAAUCAUAAUAUAGUCAUCCUUUUGAAGCAAACCGUUGAAUAAAAUGACAUCAAUCCAGGAAGAUAUUUUUUGGCAUCAAAAUAGCAUCAUUUUUAGUACCAACUAUAAGCAAAGAAAAAUAAUAUCAGAUAGCCCAAAAGAAUUAUCCAUGCAACACAACUACAAUUUCGAACACAAUAAGAAUUUUAUGGCAAAUAUCAGAAUUCGGGGUUGAAAAUAAAUUAGAAUAAUAAUUAAAUAAAAAUGCUGAUCGAAUUCGGCUCAUAAGGGAUCUGCUACUUGGAGAGUUUACCUGUUUGUGUGAGACUCUCCUUUCACUUGUGAGAGCCCGGGGUGGCUGCCUUGUUCGUCGAGGCAGAGGAGUCUCCGACGAGGCACAGGGACAGUGGCGAGU